rnacentral:rRNA from 1 species
UGGCGGCGUGCCUAAUACAUGCAAGUCGAACGGUCUUUCUAUGGAAGCUUGCUCCACUGAGAAGAUAGUGGCGAACGGGUGAGUAACACGUGGGUAACCUGCCCAUAAGAGGGGGAUAACAUCCGGAAACGGGUGCUAAUACCGCAUAGUUUCUUGAUCGCAUGAUCGGGAAAGGAAAGACGGCCUUUGUGCUGUCGCUUAUGGAUGGACCCGCGGCGUAUUAGUUAGUUGGUGAGGUAACGGCUCACCAAGACGAUGAUACGUAGCCGACCUGAGAGGGUGAUCGGCCACAUUGGGACUGAGACACGGCCCAAACUCCUACGGGAGGCAGCAGUAGGGAAUCUUCCGCAAUGGACGAAAGUCUGACGGAGCAACGCCGCGUGAGUGAAGAAAAGGUUUUCGGAUCGUAAAACUCUGUUGUCAGAGAAGAACAAGUUGGAGAGUAACUGCUCCAGCCUUGACGGUAUCUGACCAGAAAGCCACGGCUAACUACGUGCCAGCCGCAGC